AUAAGAGGUCCCACCUGCCCUGUGACUCUAAGUUUAACGGCCGCGGUAUUCUAACCGUGCGAAGGUAGCGCAAUCAAUUGCCUUUUAAAUGAAGGCCUGUAUGAAUGGUAUAACGAGGGUCUAGCUGUCUCUUUUUUCUAGUCAGUUAAACUGAUCUGUCCGUGCAGAAGCGGACAUAAAUAUACAAGACGAGAAGACCCUAUGGAGCUUUAGACACUAGCCAACUGUGAAUAAGCGACUGAACUGAGCAAGUCCUAAAUACCCGCAGCCUUAUGGUAAUGUAGUCUUAGGUUGGGGCGACCACGGGAGAAAGUAAAGCUCCCAAGCAGACCGGGAAAACCCUUAAGCCGAGAGUUGCAACUCUAAGCCGCAAAAUUUUUGACUGAAAUGAUCCGGUUGAAAAACCGAUUAACGAACCAAGUUACCCUAGGGAUAACAGCGCAAUCCUCUCCCAGAGUCCCUAUCGACGAGGGGGUUUACGACCUCGAUGUUGGAUCAGGACAUCCUAAUGGUGCAGCCGCUAUUAAGGGUUCGUUUGUUCAACGAUUAAAGUCCUACGUGAUCUGAGUUCAGACCGGAGUAAUCCAGGUCGGUUUCUAUCUGUAA
rnacentral:rRNA from 1 species